UAAAGUCGUGACAAGGUUUUCCGUAGGUGAACCUGCGGAAGGAUCAUUG
rnacentral:rRNA from 1 species